rnacentral:lncRNA from 1 species
UUGAACUAAAAAUCAUAAAUUUGAACCGUAAAAACAUCAUAACCACAAGUGGUUCUAUAUAUAUUACACACACACACACACACACACACACACACUCUAGUCUCCAUUAAGUCAAAAUAUAACGAUCAAUCCCAUUUAUUUUGAACAUACUUAUCAAGGUCCAAAAUUAUGAAAUCAACCUUAAUUCCUUAUGUCCGAUUUUGCCUGUUGAGUAUAAUUGUAAGUAUUAAAAUAGUAAGAGGAUUUUUUUUCACGUGCUUAUAUGUGUAGGAGUUCGAUUUAAGAUUAUUCAGAUCUGCUAUGAACUUUCUAGCCUGGGAUUGAUAGAAACUGGGUUAAUAUUUCAAAUUCGAUUUAUAUUUUUCGUUUUAUUUCAAUUAUUAGCUUCCUUCUUUCUUUCUUUCUUUCUUUUUUCCCCACUAACUAGCUUUUUACCCAAAACAAAAUUUAGUUUAAAUAACAAAUAGAAAGAAAAUGGUUUUCUUUUUUGAAAUAAUUGGAUUACUAUGGGUGAAUUGAUAUUUUCUAAAAAUAAAAAUGAGAAUGAAAAUUAUGUUUUGCAGUUGCUAAAUUUUGAAUUUAAGCAUAAGUUUGGUAUUAUUUUCUAUAACUUGUACUUUAAAACUGAAAACAUUAAUAUGUAUUCGGUAGACAUUAUUGAAAAUAAUUAAAACAAUGAAUAUGUGUUCGGUAGAACAAUCCUAUAAAAGUAAAAUUUUAGUAAAUAUAUUAUCUUAACAUUUAAAUAUAAUUAAUUUGUUUUUCCAUGCUAUAUGAUAAAAAAUUGUAAAAUUUUGAUCAUUCAAAAUUCUUUUUUAACUAGUCAAACGAAGAAUCAUAAUGAAUACAAGCAGAAUUUUAUACAAGAUAAAGUUAGCUUAUAAGAUUCAGUAUACAUUUUAUAAUAAGUAAGGGCAAAACAAAGUUAAGAAGAACAUUGUUAGUUAUCACCGUGUUACUGAAUCCAGGAAAAAUUGAGAGCAACCAAAACAAAAUCCAAGUUACUCAAUGGGUCACACUGUAUAAGUGUUCAAAUUAAUCUAUCAUGAGUAGUCAUCCAUUCUUUUGCUUCUUGAUAUAUCACAUGGUCUAACUUGGAUACUUUUUGUUACUUUCAUCUUUGUAAAAAUGCCCAAACAUCUGUUUAAUAAUCCCAUUAAUUUGAACAAAUAAAACUAGCUAGCUCCCUAAACACCCAUUGAGUUUGCAGUAUUUUCAUGUAGCAACAGAACCAAAUUUUAUAGUAAUUUCUUAUUUUUCUAAAGUAAUAGUUAUUUCCUAUUUUUUAAAGUAAUUUCAUACGUGUUUAAUUACAUUGAUCUGAAUUAAUCAACUGUAAGGUGAUUUAAGAAGAUGAAGGAAAAAAAAAAAGGAAUUUACGGAAGAAGAGGCAGAAGAAAUGGUCAAAGAAGAUGAUGAAAAGAAGAAAGGAUGAAGAAGAUGCGGUAUAAAAGAAAUGAAAGAAAGAUUUUUAUAUUGUUUAUUUUUUAUGUCUUGAAGUUUGUUCAGGGAAUUGUUUUGUAGAAUGAAGAAAACGUGCAAAUCUUUUUUUCUUUAAAUUUAUACCUGCAAAAAUUUUAUUUUUUAAAACAAUAUUUGAUCGGCUUGUAACCGGUUAAAUAUAAUUUAAUUAAAUUUUUUGUUAUAUUAAAAUAAUUAUGAAUCGUUGAUCUAAUUUAAUGGCCCAUAAUAAUUACUGUAUUAAUGCUGUGAUUUUAAUCACUAGCAUCAUAGAAUUUUCCUUCUUUUUAAUGUGGUGGUUAUAUUGAGUUGAGGAUAUUAUUAGAUUAUUAAUAGAAUGAUAAUUAAGAUCUUAACUAUAAUUCUAACAUGACUCAGGGCUUGGAUUAAAUGUAGCUUCUUAUGCAGAAUUGUGAUUGUAGAAACAGUGAUGCUAUUAGUACUAACACUAUUUCAGAAUCCUUACAAGACCAAGUUCUAAGUAAUGACAUUUUACCCUUGAAGAAUUCACCAAUGUGAAAUUCAUUAGUUUGAAUUACGGUAUAAGUGAGGAUUAAUUAUAAUUAUUUUUAAAAUUAUUAGGUAAAAGGAGAGAAUUAAAAUCACUUUCACGUGUUAACACGAGAGCUAAAGAUAUUUGUUGAAUAAAAAUGGAUGUGCUUAGAAGUGAGUGAGUUAGCUGUGUGAAUUUCACUUAAUAGAUCGAGGGUUUAAUAAGAAUUUUGAAGGGCUGAGAAGCCUCACUCUCGUAGAAUAGCAAGAUUUCAAAAACCUCAGAAGGACUUAUAUACAGUGUAUGUGUGCGUGUAUAUAUGUAUAUGUAAACACACACACAUACGGGCCAAGCUAUGUUGGUCCACCUCUGGCCGAAGAGACUAACCGUCGCUAGCCAUCAAGAAUGUUUGCACGUGCGUUUAAGAGAUAAUGAUGCCAAUGAAGUUAUUUCAUUCAUGCCGGGACUGACCACCGGCGGUGAAUAAUUGAUGGAUAAGAUGCUUUACAAAAUUUGAGAAUCCAAGGACAAUAAUGUCCAAAAAUCAGGAUUUUGGCUAAAAAGAGUAAGAAAAAAAAUUGAGGUUAGAAAUAUCUGAUCGGAUUGGGAUUGGUAGCUUCAUGAGAAAUUUUAAAAUUUCUUCUAAAUAUAAUGUUAGUCAUAUAACAAAUAAAUAAAAUUAUGAUACGUGUAUAUUUAUUUUAAAGAAUUUACUGAUUAUAUAAAAUUUAAUUAUACAUAUUAUACAUAUAUUAGUUAUAUUAUCUCUAAUGUAUUUUUAAAAUUCCUCCUGAUCUGAUUGGCAAGCUAACUAAGAAAAAAAAAAUUGAUCAGUUGACUAGCCCUAAACCUAAUUUUGAUAUCUCGCCAACAAUCACUCACAGCUCACAGCCGCUCUUCACCUCUCACCAAGCACCCAGCUCCACCGCACCAAGGGAUAGAACCUUUCCACCGCAAUUCACGGGAUUUUGCCCAGCCCAAGUAUUUUAUCAUUACUUUAUUACAUUUUUAGUUCCACCAUCAUUCAAUCAGUUUCUCAGCUAAUUUUGAACGUGAAUUUUUUUUCAAUUCAUUAUUAUCUUAUAUUUUCCCACAGUAAAUUCAAUUACUGAUGAAAGGGGAAGUGAAAAAAAAAAAAUUGCAUAUUCAUGAUAUCACACAUGCUUCAUCCACAUGUCUAUUCCCAUUUGUUUCUUUCCUUGAUGAUUCUGAGCACCGAAAAUGAUAGAUUCUCUCCUAAUUGUUUAAAUUUAGUGAAAGAAAUUAGUUUAAUUGUAAAUGAUAUAAAAAAAUUAACUUGAUUGUAACAUUUAAAAUUCAACACAUUCAUAUUUUGUCGAUGUUUACCUCCAGUAAAAGAAAUACAGAUAGCAGAACAUAGCAUGAGCAAGAUGGAACUUAGCAUGCUAGUUAAUUAUUGUGGAUGAGUAUUUUGUACAGCACAUCGGUACGAUACUUUAACAACUCUUAUCUGAAAGUUACUAAAUAAGAAUUGAGUUUCUCAAGUAAGUUAGCAUGCUUGUGGAAGAGACGGAGAGAAAAUAGAGCCAUUAAGCUAAGAGAGAAUUUAUAUCAUUCACAAGAGAGUUUGUAUAAAUAUCCUUGAGAGCUUACGAAAUAUAUUUAGUUACUUACAAGUUGCUUGAUCUAGAGCCUUUACAUUGAUAACAAUCUCUAACGUAUGCUUGUAUCUAUAGAGUUGGCUAUUACUCUAACUUGAGCAAAUAUUUUCAACAAAUAUUCUAGCUUAAUUAGUGGAACAAAUCAAGGCUUACUACUGCUUUAAGGUAAGAAUUGUCUAAGUAUCAUGAGCACCAUACGAAAUGUGCUGAACAAAAUACUCAUGCUGUGACGUAACUCUCAGUUUUUUAAUGUGUACAUGUAUAUACAGCGGCUCACACAAGACAAAACAGGGGUGCAAUAUAAUAUUAUGAUUGGGAAUAGUGUAUGGGCUGUUUAGCCGUAAUUUCGGUUGAAGUGCCAAACAACAACUUUUUUUUUUCCCCGACAUAAAUCUCCUUCAAAAUUAUUAAAAAAUAUUGAUUAAUGUAGUUCUGACUUUACUGUUCACACGCCAUUUUCUUCAUUGUCAAGUUUCGUUCCCGUCGUCCUACACAAUGCAAAUCCUUGUACUUUUUGCUUGAACUGCUCUUUUUUCCUUUUUUAUUAAAUAGCUUUUUUUUUUACUCUUUUUUUUUAUAUUAAAUAUAGAAGGGAAGUAAGGAUUUAUUCAAGGUAUCUAGUUAAAAGUAAGGAUUUAUUCAAGGCAUCUAGUAAACUUUCGAACUAAUGUAUAUAAAAAGGUCGAAAAAUCUAAUUUUUCCACCACCAUCAUAUUUAUUUAGUUUAAGGAAAAUUAUCAUUCGUAUACCCUAUAAAUGCUCUGUUAUUAAAAAUACUACAACACUUUGAAGGUGUAUCAAACGUCCACCCUAAGUUGGCAAAAUGUAUCUGUCAUCCACCAGACCGUAACUUGUUGUUUAAAUAAGAUAACAUCGGAGGAGUAAUUGGUCUUUUCAUAUGAUACAAGUGAUAAUUUAAGGGUAUACAAGUGAUAAUAAAAAAAAUUUAAGGGUAUACAAGUGAUACUUUUCAAGAGUAAAAUCGUCAAUUUGCUAUAAUGUUGUUAACUUUCAAACGGCAACUAACGGUUUGAUGGUCGGUAGAUAACUUUUAUUAAUUUAGGCUGGACGAUUGAUAGACCCUCAAAGUGUUGUGGUACUUUUGAUAAUAGAAUAUCUAUAGGGUAUACGAAUGAGAAUAUCCUCUCCUCACCUCAUUCUUAAAAUUUAAAAUUAGGGUCAACCUAUAUGAUUAGUGGGAGCAGAAAUUUCAUAUUAUAUACAUUGAGAGAAAUUCUUCUAAACCAUCCUAGAGGUAGAAUUAAUUAGUAAAUCCAAUAUCAGACUAAUUUUCGCAUGUAUCAUUUGACUAAAAAUCUUAAACAUUAAAUAAAGAAACUUGGAUCCUCAGUAUUUAAUCUAACAUCUCUAGAGGUUGUUAAAGAUUUUAACACGUAUGCCAUCCAAAUAUUUUUAUUAAGAAGAUUUAAAUUACUCUUAUUUUUCCUUCUUAAAAAAAUAUUUUCAAUCUUCAAAAAAAUCUAAAAUUAACGUACUACCAAUAGACGUUAACUCCCCAUUUUUUAUUGUGGUCACCACUUCUUACCUUAUUCUUUUUUUUUCUUCGAGCUAAGAGCAAAUUAAAUCUAUGAAUUUUUAAACGACAUGUGUUAAGAUCCCCAUAGAUCUUAGUAGAUGUUAGAUUAGAAGAGGAUUUGACUAUAAGCUUAUAAAGUUGGGAUAUAAGAAAGUUGAUACAAAUGGCACUUGAUGUGUUAUCAAUUUAUUAGUGUUGUGAAAUUAUCUCAUUAAUGGUUUAUAAAAAUGAUGAACGAAACUUUUGUAAUAGAAAUGCCUCCAAUAGUCAUAAUUAUAAUAUUGUGAACCUAAAUUAAUGUUUUAUCCCCUUCCUCGAUACAAAUUCGGGCAGUCAACUAAAUAAACAUACUAGAAAACCAUUCGCACUCGCAUUCUUCAUUGAGCUAAUCAUAGAAUUAGUUAACUUCCUUUCUAUUUUUUCAAUUUGUUUUGAUGGAUAAAUUCUCAUUUAGACUCUAUAUUUUGACCUAAGUGCCUAUUUAGUCCUUAUAUAUUAAUUUUAAACACAUAUUAAUGGUUCUUGUUGGUAGAGAAAAUUUUAAAACCCAAUUCGCUCCUCUCUUAGGUUUUUUAGCUAAAAGUUUCAAUGGUCGUUGGUAAUUAUUCGAUGAUAGAGGCAUAACUUUAUACAAAUUUAUUUUCUACAAACUAAUAUGACAUUACUAUAUUGGCCAAACAAAAAGAAAAAUAAAUGAUCCAUAUGAUUUAUUUUAACCAGUGUAAUUGUAAAUUGAGUAGUGCUAUAUAUUCUAAAUUUUUUAGUCGAAAAACUAUCUUAAAUGAUGUGGAUUUCAUCAAUUAGUUGGUGAGAUAAUACAAUUAUGGUGCAUUUACUAAUCAGUAAUCGAAAUUGGUUGGAAGAAAAAUGGAUGGGAAUUGACUUAGGCUAGAAUCGGAAUGGAGAAUGGAAAUCAGAAUAAAUUGUUUGCUUUUAACUGUACGAAUGAGAAUGGGAAUGAGUUGUAUUGCCACUCACGUAUUUACUUUAUCUUGAAAUCAAAAUGAAUUGUUGUAAGUUACUAAAAUGACCUUAGUUGAUUCUUGUCAUAAUUUAUUAUAAUAAUUGUGAUUAUUUUUAUUCAAAAACUAAUUAUUGUUAAUAUCAACAACAAUAACAUAACAACAACAACAACAACAAUAAUUGUUAAAAUUAUAAUAAUAAUAAUAAUAAUUAAUUUUAUUAUAUUAGUUAAUAGUAUUGUUGUUGCUACUGCUGUUGUUGAUGCUAUUAUGAUGAUGAUGAUCAUCAUCAUUAAUUUUAUUAUAACUAAUUAAUGAUUAUUGUUUUCACCAAAUUCUCACUAGUAUUCGAUUUAAACCAAUUAGGUUGUUCUCACCAGAUCUAGUUCAAAUCCGAUUCAAACAAAUUAAUUCAUAUUUACGGGGAGCUUGUGCUAAGUUUGGGUUUACGUGUAUUUUUCUUAUGCUUAGGGCAAGUGGCAUAGUUGAGGUACACUAGAUGCUGAUCUAAAGUGAUCUGCGUGAUAAGCUAAGGUGGGCAUAUAAGGAAUAAUAAAGAGAUUUCAGGUAAGCUUAUACAUGAAAAACAAUUUUGACCUCAUAUUGAAAAUAUAGUAAAACAAACCUAAAUAUAAAAAACACAUAACGUUUACAUGAUUCUGUUUUUAGUUUACAUCUACUGGAGUAAGUCAUCAUCAAUCCACUAUAUAAAUAAAAUGUUAAAUAAGAGUUUACAUUAUCCAAGAUGAAUAAGAUGAAUAACACAAGCUAGAUAGCUAUAUAGAGAUGCUUGGUGUGAUAAAGAUGAAGAUGGUGGAGAAGAUGAUGAAUGUAGAGAAUAGAAAUGGCCUCCUAAAAUGAAGAAGUGAGUGAUGAUAUAAAAGAAGGAGAGAGAGUGAGAGAGAGGAACCCCACAAAUAUGAGUUGAAUAAGGCAUUUAUGAAUGCUAGUUGUAAGAAGAGAGCAUAAAAGUUAGGGAUAUAUGUCAUCUUUAAGUUAAAAUGAGAGAAUUUUUUUAGGACUGUGUAUCAUAUUUAAGGAAACGAAACAAUAAUAUUUCUUUUGUACUAAGUUUACUAUUUCGCGUAAAUAUCUUAGAGUGUCCAAAUUUGACCAUUGAUUUCCAAGCCCAUCCAAUAUAGUAAAUUUUUCCAAAUGACAUCUUUAUACUACUUCAAGUAUUUUAUCCGCUUUGCCCUUGUAAUUGUCCACACGUCAUUCAUUUCUUGAUCUAAAAAUAUCCUUCCACAUUUACACCCAAACAAUUAUUAUUAUUCUUAAAAUUAUUAUCACCAUUAUUAUUAUUAAUUUUGUUAUCAUUAAUUAUUAUUAUUACUAUUAACAAUAACAAUAACAAUAACAAUAACAAUAAUAAUAAUAAUAAUAGCAGUAAUAAUAUAAUAAUAUAAUAUAUUAUUAUUUUUAUUCAGGACAAAUGUGAAAUUAUGAAAUUUGAGUGAAGGUAAAAUGAGAAGGUCAACAAAUGAGAAUUUGAUUCCAACCCUCCUCAUGAGAAUCGAGUUCCCAUUUUUUAAUGCCAAAAUUAUGUGGGCCCCACAUAUUUUAUUCUCAUUUCUACUUUUAUUUAGCCAAUACAAACUAUCAAUCAUUCUAUUCAUUCUCCAAUCUGAGAUAUAAACGCACCAUUAAUUUAAUUGGAUCUUAUUAAAAAUUACCAAACACUCAAUUAAUGAUAUAUCAUUUGGAAUAGAAUUUGAGAUGUUUAUCAUUACUCUUAAAAAUUUAUACAAAAUUAUGGCUCUCAACUAUAAUGUGGUGGUUAUAUUAAAUGAGACGAUAUUCAAUUAUAAAAUAGAGAUACUAGGGAUCUCAAUUAUAAUUCUAACAUGAAUUGGACUUGGAUCAAAUGACUUCUCAUAUGUGGAUUGUGAUUGUAGAAAGAGUGAUGCUGCUAACACUCCUUUAGAAUCCCUAUAAUACCUUCAGUUUUAUUUGUUGAUAAUUUUAUCCUUGAGAAUUGCAAUACUGAAUCGUGAACACCCCACUUCUUCAUUUUCAGAUUUUUAUUGAUUAAAAAAUGCUUGUAUUGACAUCCUUUCAAGAGGCUUCUUCAUUAGCAAACAAUAAAACUAAUUGAACAGGAUUUGGAUCUUAUUUCCAACUUUGAUUGAAGCUAUAUAUAUAUACGGAUUAACAGCGCUCUAAACUUACAUUUAUUUUUUAUACUAGUUUGAAACCAUUAGAUUUAAGACAUAUUAAUGAUCAAGAUUUUGGAAAAUUAAUAACAUAAAUGCUUAACAACAAUAGUAAUUAAUGUACUUUCUCUCUCCACGUCAGUAUCCUUGUAAAACAUGAUUUCUCUGUCCUAAGUUUUCUCAGUACCUUUUUAUGUUUUUCUCUUGUCAUUGCUAAGCCUUUAAGUUUGCCCGUUGAAUGUAAAAAAAAUCCGCAAACAGGAAUGACUUGCUUAGUCAUAGGACGCUAUUGCACAACAAGAACAUAUCCAUCAUUAAAUCAUUCACAAAUGGAUAUUUGAUUUCUCGACUUAAGUUCGUGUUCUUACAUCAUGUUUAUUAUAAAUUGCUGAUUGCCUAAACAUUCACUGAUUGUCUUCACUAUUAAACAAAGAAAUCAAGAUAGAGAAAGAAUAAGUAUUUUUCAUAGAAAGAGUAAAUAUUUUUCUUAAAUUGAAUAAAUCUAUUGCUGCUUCUUGUUUGCUUCUCGCUUAUUCAUCACCAUUUGCACCCAUAAUCUUAAGAGUAAUUUUGAUUUUGAUGAGGAAAGAAAGAACAAUUAAUGAAGAGAGAAAAAACAAAAGUGAAAAUAUUAGUGAAAAGGAGAUAACAAAUAAGAGAGAAGCAAAAUCUUAAUCAAAUAUUCAUCACGUCCCACAAAAUCUUGGCCGUUGAUAUGCAUUAAAUCUAAUGGUUAUAAAUUGGUGUACAAAUAUGUGUAAUUUUAGGGGGCUGCUAGUGUGUGUGUAUAUAUAUAUAUAUAACCAAAUGAGAGCUCAUGAUUUUUUUAUCGGUUCAAAUACAUCCAAUAUAAUUUGAAGAAAUCAUUAAUGUAAAAUUCAUUAAUUUGAAUUAUAGUAAAAGUGAGGAUUAUUUAUAAUUAUUUUUGAAAAUAUUAUGUAUAAGGUGAGAGAAUCAAAAUAUUAUGAAUGAUGAAAGGGAGGUGAACAAAAAAAAAAAAAAAAUGCAUAGCCAUGAUAUCACACAUGCUUCGUCUAGAUAUCUAUUAUCAUUUGUUUGUUUACUUGAUGAUUCUAAGUACCAAAAAAUUGUGGAUUAGGAGUCUCUUUUAGAGUUUUUUUCCUCUUAAUUUUUUAAAUUUAGUGAAAGAAAUUGAUUUAAAUUUAAAAUUUAAUUUCGAUCACUUAUUUUAGUAGGAACGAUUAAUGGAGAAAUAAUACUAGGAAAGAAUCUUUAUCCAAAAAUUAUCAUUUAAAACUUUUACAAAAUGGAUGAUACAAGAAAUCUAAUCUGAUUUUAACCUGAAGUCAAUUAGAUUGGAUUGGAUUGACUUCCGUUACCAAAAUCAAGGAAUUCGAAUUAGCCUUCAAGAAUAUUAAAUAAAUAAAUAAAUAAAUUAUUAUAAACCUCAAUUUAUAUUAUUUUUUAUUCAAAAGACAAGCAACAAAUGGGUGUAUAUUGACAAUUUUUUUAAUAAAAAUAAUGGAUUGUUAAGAUUUACAGUAAUAUGGGGAGUAUUUUAAAGACUACAUUUUAUGAUAGGGUAAUCCAAAAUUAUCCCCCAAAAUAAGUAAAAUUUUCCUCUUUUUUGCUAAAAAUAAUAUUUAUCUAUAUUUGUGUCAUUCUUCUCAAAUAGAUGGUAGUUCGCACGUUCAUAUUUUGUCAAUAUUUACCAAAAGUAAAAGAAAUACAAGUAACAUCACAUGGCAUCAGUAAAAUGGACCUUAGCAUGAUGCUACCUAAUUGUCAUGGGAUAAGUUUUUGUGCAGCAUACUCCCGCGGUACUUAAACAAUAUUUAUUCGAAAGUUGCCAAGUCUUGAUCUCUUCGACUAGUUAAAUUAGAAUGCUUGCAAAAGAAUCAAAAAGAAGUUAGAGCAAUUGAGGCAAAGAGAGUUUGUACUAUUAAUUUAUAAGAGUGUGUGCGUGUGUAAGUAUGCUUGAGAAUUUAGAGAAUGCUUUGAAUUGCUCACAAGUUGCUUGAUCUUGUGGUGCCUCUACACCACUAACAAUUUUUCGUGAGGUGCUCGGAUUCAGAGAGUUGGCUAUUACUCUUAUGUGAGCUUGGUUGGCAGGUGAGUGCAAAUCUUAACGCUAACAUCACUUAUUAGAAGAUGAGUAUUUUCUGCAAAUAUUGUAACUUAGUUAAUCAAGAAGCUUAAGGCUUAAUAACUUUUAGGUAAAGGUUGUUUAAGUACCCUACAAAUGAAUGUGCUGUGUAGAAUACUCAUGACGUAACAUAAUACUUGGUUUUUAAUGUAUAUAGAGUAAUGAUACAGCCACAAACUCUUGUACAAACUUAUUUUGUACAAACUGAUGUGGCAUGAUAAGAUUGGUUGAAUUAAUAUCACUUGACCCACAUGAUUUGUUUUUAUUAAUUUAUAUUUUCAUUCAACCAAUGAAUUAAUACCACAUCAGUUUGUACAAAAAUUUAUGACUGUAUCAUUACUCAUGUAUAUAUAGAGAGAGAGAGAACAGCGGUGCAAUAUAAUAUUAUGAUUGGGAAUAGUAAGUGGGCUGUUUAGCCGUGAUUUCGAUUAACGCCAAACAACAACUUUUUUUUUUUUUUUUGGGUGACGUAAACUUCCUUCAAAAUUAUUACAAAAUAUUAAUAAUGUAGUACUGCCUUUACUGUUCACACGACAUUUUCUUCAGUUUCAAGAAAACGUGACCUUACUUGCGAGUUUCAUCCCCGUCGUCCUACACAACGCAAAUCCUUGUAGUUUUUGUUUUAAACUUUUUAUUCAUUAUUUUUUUUAUAUUUUUUUUACUUUUUUCUUUUUUUUUUUAACAAAUCAUUAAAGUAAGGAUUUAUUGAAGGUAUAUAUUUCCUUUCAAACUAAUAUAUAUAUCACUGUUGAAAUAUCUAAUUUUUCCACCACCAUCAUAUUUCUUUGGUUUAAUAAUCGAUAGCUCUUCACCUCAUUCUUAAAAUUUAAAGUUUGAAUCAACCUUUAUGAUUAGUGGGAGCAGAGAUUUCAUAUUAUCUACAUUAAGAGAAGUUCAACUAAGCCAUCCUAUAAGUACAUUUGAUUAAUAAAUCCAAUACCAGAUUAAUUGUUAGAUAUACAUUUGACUGAAAAUCUUAAAUGUUAAAUAAAGAAACUUGGAUCUUUGAUAUUUUAUCUAACAUCUAUAGAGGUUUGUUAAAGAUCUUAACAGAUACGUAGUUCAAAUAUUUUUAUUAAGACGAUUUAAAUUACCCUUAUUUUUCAUUCUUAAAAAAAAUUGUUUUCAAUCUCAAAAUAAAAUUCUAAAAUCAACUUUCUACAAUAGAAGUUAACUCCCCAUUUUUUAUUGCCUUCACCUCUUCUUACCUUGUACCCUUUUUUUUUUCCCUUGAAGCUAAGAGCAAGUUAAAUCUAUAAUUUUUUAAAUGACAUGUGUUAAGAUCUCCAACAAAAAUCUUCGAAGAUAUUAGAUCAAAAAAAGAUUUAGUGAUAAGCUUAUAAAGUUAGGAUGUAAGAAAGUUAAGAUAAAAAACUUGUAUUUGUGAUACUUUAUGUGUUAUUAAUUUAUUAGUGUUAUGAAAUUAUCAUAUUAAUGAUUUAUAAAAAAUAAUGAACAAAACUUUUGUAACAGAAAUCCUUCGAGUAGUCAUAAUUAUAAUAUUGUGAACUCAAAUUAAUUUUUUUACCCCCUUCCUCCCUAGUAUAUGAACUCAGGUGAUCAUUUAAAUAAAUAUACUUAAAAACCAAUCACACUCGUGUUCUUGAUUUAACUAAUCAUAGAAUUAGCUAACUAACUUUCUUUUUCUUUUUUAAAUUUAUUUUGAUGGGUAAAUUCUCUUUAAUCAUUAUAUUUUGACUUAAGUGUCCAUUUAAUUCUUAUAUAUUAAAAAAUACAUCAAAACACCGUUGCAAUUAAAUAUGUUACAUUCUUAUCAUUACUUUUUCUU